GUGGGGAAUCUUGCGCAAUGGGCGAAAGCCUGACGCAGCCAUGCCGCGUGGAUGAUGAAGGUCUUAGGAUUGUAAAAUCCUUUCACCGGUGAAGAUAAUGACUGUAGCCGGAGAAGAAGCCCCGGCUAACUUCGUGCCAGCAGCCGCGGUAAUACGAAGGGGGCUAGCGUUGCUCGGAUUUACUGGGCGUAAAGGGCGCGUAGGCGGACAUUUAAGUAAGGGGUGAAAUCCCGGGGCUCAACCUCGGAACUGCCUUUGAUACUGGGUGUCUUGAGUAUGAGAGAGGUGUGUGGAACUCCGAGUGUAGAGGUGAAAUUCGUAGAUAUUCGGAAGAACACCAGUGGCGAAGGCGACACACUGGCUCAUUACUGACGCUGAGGCGCGAAAGCGUGGGGAGCAAACAGGAUUAGAAACCCCGGUAGUCC
rnacentral:rRNA from 1 species